rnacentral:lncRNA from 1 species
AGUGUGAGGGAAGGGACAAUAUUGGGAGAACGACGAUAUGGGCGCCAGGAGGCACUAUGGAGACCGAGGAGGAGCAGCCGAAGCUAAGCUGGCAGCCAGAGUGGAUACCCUUGCCUAGAAGGUAUUUAUGGGACUCAAACUUGUUCUCUUUUUG